rnacentral:rRNA from 1 species
GACGAACGCUGGCGGCGUGCUUAACACAUGCAAGUCGAACGGAAAGGCCCUGCUUUUGUGGGGUGCUCGAGUGGCGAACGGGUGAGUAACACGUGAGUAACCUGCCCUUGACUUUGGGAUAACUUCAGGAAACUGGGGCUAAUACCGGAUAGGAGCUCCUGCUGCAUGGUGGGGGUUGGAAAGUUUCGGCGGUUGGGGAUGGACUCGCGGCUUAUCAGCUUGUUGGUGGGGUAGUGGCUUACCAAGGCUGUGACGGGUAGCCGGCCUGAGAGGGUGACCGGCCACAUUGGGACUGAGAUACGGCCCAGACUCCUACGGGAGGCAGCAGUGGGGAGUAUUGCACAAUGGGCGGAAGCCUGAUGCAGCAACGCCGCGUGCGGGAUGACGGCCUUCGGGUUGUAAACCGCUUUCGCCUGUGACGAAGCGUUAGUGACGGUAAUGGGUAAAGAAGCACCGGCUAACUACGUG